AAUCCAUGGUGUGGACACCUCCUUUGUAACUCUUUAUAUCGAACCCAAGCCUCAUAUAAGGUGUUUCUCUCUUCUUGAUGAAAUUGAAGGAUUGCAUUUUGGAGUUU